GAUCUACUUCGCUCGUCAUUCGUGCGAUUCCACCUAGAAAAGAAGCAUGGAAAGGGUUCACAGGUUGUUGGCUACCUCACCGUCCGAUCAAUUUCUAAUCACUCAUCCAAAUAGCAUCGAAAUCCGACAAACAGCAAAGUUCUCAGCACGUGCGUCAUAUCAUCGUGCCUAGUUCUCGUACAUAGCAAGUCUCAAGCAGUAAUUGUAUUGUAUUUAAUCAACCAAAAUGUUUUGAUCAUUAGUUUGAGAGAAUGAAUAAUCAAUCGAGAUGGCAAAAGUGCUUUUAGUUCUGUGUCCACAAAGUUGAAAAGAUUCGUUGCCGCCGUUCAAAUUGUAAAUGAAAACAGAAGCGGAAAUGGACUCCAAUUUGUAAACGCCGUGAAAGUUCGCAUAUGAAUUCCUAAUAGCGAAAUGCAAAUUUGAUUUUUCUUUCUGUAUAUGAACGAUAUUUAUAUGUUAAUUGUUCGAUAACAAAAAAAUAAGUUAUGAAUUAUUUUUAGGAUUAUUUGACAUGAAGGCAAAAGGAUAAUAGAUUUAAGUAAUAAUAUGGUAACAACUAAGUUGUCAAUGCAAUUGCAAUUUGAAAGUACAUAACUAAGUGGA